AAUGUGUUGUGGCAGUACAAACUUUUUUUUUCAAACAAGAGGACAUAACUAUAUACAUACAUAUCUAAAACCGGCACAAAUCGGUGUCCCAAGAAACUUUGUUCGGGAAAUCCGGGACGAAUGGCCACCUUAGUAGGUAUCACGUUUCUUAUGGGUUCGUGAUACACGCAGUGGCGGCUAUGCAAUGAUCAAGGCAAUACGUUGGAUCAAAAUAAUAUUUAGGUAAUGCAAAACUUUCAAUAACGGAUAAAUCCAAAUAACAGACACAAUUUCAGCGACCAAGAGUAUUCGAUAUUUUGAAGUUUCAUUGUAUCGUGCAAUAAUAUGACGAGCAAAUAUGGAGUUAGAUAUUUUUGUUUUUCGUAUCGACCUGUGGCAAUGAGUAUAUUAUUCUGUCUGUAUAUUAUCUAAAAACAACCAUGCUGGUCGGCAUUCGCAUAACACAGCUGCGAGCGUAAUAUUUUUUAAUUUCCUCAAUUUUGAGACGUAGCCACCAUUACGACUGAUUCUCAUAUUGUAUUCAGCUGAUGAUCGAUUGACAAUCAAAAACCAAGGCUUAUGCAGCGGACUUGCUUCCACGAUCAGCAGCAUAUUGUAAUAUAACAUACAUCAUAUAGGGCUAGGUACAGUGCUGAUCAAUAAUUGGACGACAGAGAAGCAAUAAUUGGUUCGUAAAAAAGCCGAUUUUUUUCAGGAGAUACAUUAUCAUAAGUAGAGCGAAAAAUAGAAAUGAAUAUAAUACUAAUAUGACAGUACAAGUUAAAAUAGUUAUCACUAGAUAAUAGAUACACACGUACCUAAUAUUUCUAUCACACGUUGACGACCGACUGAAGUGGAAUUAUACUUUAAAGUUUAUAUCUAUUAUCUUUGAAAAUAAUGAUAGCUUAUAAUUAUUGCGAUGUAAGGUAUUGUGAGUAAGGUAUUUUUCUAAAAAUGUUAAUAUUGUAUAUCUCAAAAUCACAUUUUUUACUUAUCAGGUAUUGCUUCAUUGUCA